GCCCCCAUCGUCUAGGGGACUAGGACGACACCCUUUCAAGGUGUAGACAGCGAUUCGAAUUCGCUUGGGGGCGCCA
rnacentral:tRNA from 1 species